UACGUAGGGCGCAAGCGUUGUCCGGAAUUAUUGGGCGUAAAGAGCUCGUAGGCGGCUUGUCACGUCGGGUGUAAAAGCCCGGGGCUUAACCCCGGGUCUGCAUUCGAUACGGGCUAGCUAGAGUGUGGUAGGGGAGAUCGGAAUUCCUGGUGUAGCGGUGAAAUGCGCAGAUAUCAGGAGGAACACCGGUGGCGAAGGCGGAUCUCUGGGCCAUUACUGACGCUGAGGAGCGAAAGCGUGGGGAGCGAACAGG
rnacentral:rRNA from 1 species